rnacentral:rRNA from 1 species
CCAAUAGCGUAUAUUAAAGUUGUUGCAGUUAAAAAGCUCGUAGUUGAAUUUCGGGGUCGGUAGGUUGGUCAUGCCUCUGGUAUGCACUGGUCUCACUGAUUCCUCCUUCCUGAUGAGCCGUAAUGCCAUUAAUUUGGUGUUGCGAGAAAUCUGGACUGUUACUUUGAAAAAAUUAGAGUGUUUAAAGCAAGCUAACGCUUGAAUACAUUAGCAUGGAAUAAUGGAAUAGGACGUUCGAUCCUAUUUUGUUGGUUUCUAGGAUUGACGUAAUGAUUAAUAGGGAUAGUUGGGGGCAUUAGUAUUCAAUUGUCAGAGGUGAAAUUCUUGGAUUUAUUGAAGACUAACUACUGCGAAAGCAUUUGCCAAGGAUGUUUUCAUUAAUCAAGAACGAAAGUUAGGGGAUCGAAGACGAUCAGAUACCGUCGUAGUCUUAACCAUAAACUAUGCCGACUAGGGAUCGGAUGAUGUUAAUUUUUUAAUGACUCAUUCGGCGCCUUACG